GUGUUCUCACUGAGGUGGCACAUACACCAGAAUAGGAAUGAUGCAGAGAUUAUCAUGGUCCAUGUACAAGAAUGACACGCUAAUUUGUGAAAUUUCCUUUAUUUUG